rnacentral:rRNA from 1 species
AUUGAACGCUGGCGGCAUGCUUUACACAUGCAAGUCGAACGGUAACAGGCCGCAAGGUGCUGACGAGUGGCGAACGGGUGAGUAAUGCAUCGGAACGUGCCUAGUAGUGGGGGAUAACCCGGCGAAAGCCGGGCAAAUACCGCAUACGACCCAUGCGCUAAAGCGGGGCAUCUGGUGGCAACACCGGACCUCGCGCUAUUGGAGCGGCCGCUGCUCGAUUAGCUAGUUGGCGGGGUAAGAGCCCACCAAGGCGACGAGCAGUAGAUGGUCUGAGAGGACGACCAGCCACACUGGGACUGAGACAGGGCGCAGACUCAUACGGGAGGCAGCAGUGGGGAAUUUUGGACAAUGGGCGAAAGCCUGAUCCAGCCAUGCCGCGGGCGGGAAGAAGGCCUUCGGGUUGUAAACCGCUUUUGGCAGGAACGAAACGGCGCGAGCCAAUACCUCGCGCUAAUGACGGUACCUGCAGAAUAAGCACCGGCUAACUACGUGCCAGCAGCCGCCGCGGUAA